UUGAAGUGAUAGUACGAAUUUAAUAGUUAUAUGAGGUUUGAUCCUGGCUCAGGACGGAACGCUGGCAGCGUGCCCUAUAACAUGCAAGUCGAAGCGGACAGAUGGGAGCUUGCUCCCUGAUGUUAGCGGCGGACGGGUGAGUAACACGUGGGUAAACCUGCCUGUAAGACUGGGAUAACUCCGGGAAACCGGGGCUAAUACCGGAUGGUUGUUUGAACCGCAUGGUUCAAACAUAAAAGGUGGCUUCGGCUACCACUUACAGAUGGACCCGCGGCGCAUUAGCUAGUUGGUGAGGUAACGGCUCACCAAGGCAACGAUGCGUAGCCGACCUGAGAGGGUGAUCGGCCACACUGGGACUGAGACACGGCCCAGACUCCUACGGGAGGCAGCAGUAGGGAAUCUUCCGCAAUGGACGAAAGUCUGACGGAGCAACGCCGCGUGAGUGAUGAAGGUUUUCGGAUCGUAAAGCUCUGUUGUUAGGGAAGAACAAGUACCGUUCGAAUAGGGCGGUACCUUGACGGUACCUAACCAGAAAGCCACGGCUAACUACGUGCCAGCAGCCGCGGUAAUACGUAGGUGGCAAGCGUUGUCCGGAAUUAUUGGGCGUAAAGGGCUCGCAGGCGGUUUCUUAAGUCUGAUGUGAAAGCCCCCGGCUCAACCGGGGAGGGUCAUUGGAAACUGGGGAACUUGAGUGCAGAAGAGGAGAGUGGAAUUCCACGUGUAGCGGUGAAAUGCGUAGAGAUGUGGAGGAACACCAGUGGCGAAGGCGACUCUCUGGUCUGUAACUGACGCUGAGGAGCGAAAGCGUGGGGAGCGAACAGGAUUAGAUACCCUGGUAGUCCACGCCGUAAACGAUGAGUGUCUAAGUGUUAGGGGGUUUCCGCCCCUUAGUGCUGCAGCUAACGCAUAAGCACUCCGCCUGGGAAAAACGUA
rnacentral:rRNA from 1 species